UAAUAGAUCUAGAAUAACUAGAUUUAGAUCUAUAUAGAUCUAGUACUUCUACAUGAUAGUCUAGACCCACUCUAGUAAUACUCUCACCACUGCCAGAUCUAGAUCUGGUGUAAUUAAAUAAAAAAGUAACUUCAAAAAAGAUCUAGAUGAUUUGAGUUUAAGAAUCAAGAUCAAAGUAACUAAUUUAAAAGACAAAGCAACUAAUCUAAAAGAAGGUCACUAGCUCUAAUAACACACUUCUGAGAGUGACAGAGUUUCUGCAAAAAUGGGGAAAAAGCAACACCAAAAGGAUAAGUUAUACUUGACUACAAAGGAAUGGAAACAUGAAUGGGGAGGCUACAAAGGUAUACAAAACACAGGGGAAAGUGUCAAGUUUCGCAGAUUACCUUAUUACUGCUGCAGUAUUUCACUUCAACCUUUUGAGAAUCCACUGUGCACUAAUGAAGGAGUCAUCUUUGAUUUAAUGUGAGUACUA
rnacentral:sRNA from 1 species